GUGAGGAAUCUUGCGCAAUGGGGGAAACCCUGACGCAGCAACGCCGCGUGAGUGAGGAAGGCCUUCGGGUCGUAAAGCUCUGUCGGGUGGAAAGAAACGCAUGGGUGCUAAUACCAUCUAUGCUUGACGGUACCGCCAAAGGAAGCACCGGCUAACUCCGUGCCAGCAGCCGCGGUAAUACGGGGGGUGCAAGCGUUGUUCGGAAUCAUUGGGCGUAAAGAGCGUGUAGGCGGCUGGAUAAGUCAGAUGUGAAAGCCCUGGGCUCAACCCAGGAAGUGCAUUUGAUACUGUCCUGCUAGAGUAGGGAAGAGGGAAGUGGAAUUCCUGGUGUAGAGGUGAAAUUCGUAGAUAUCAGGAGGAACACCGGUGGCGAAGGCGACUUCCUGGUCCUAUACUGACGCUGAGACGCGAGAGCGUGGGGAGCAAACAGGAUUAGAAACCCCAGUAGUCC
rnacentral:rRNA from 1 species